rnacentral:miRNA from 15 species
GGGAGAGCAGAGCAGGGUUUCC